CAGCCGCCGCGGGAAUACAGAGGGUGCAAGCGUUAAUCGGAAUUACUGGGCGUAAAGCGCGCGUAGGUGGUUCGCCAAGUUGGAUGUGAAAUCCCCGGGCUCAACCUGGGAACUGCAUCCAAAACUGGCGAGCUAGAGUAUGGUAGAGGGUGGUGGAAUUUCCUGUGUAGCGGUGAAAUGCGUAGAUAUAGGAAGGAACAUCAGUGGCGAAGGCGACCACCUGGACUGAUACUGACACUGAGGUGCGAAAGCGUGGGGAGCAAACAGGAUUAGAUACCCCAGUAGUCCUGUCUCUUAUACA
rnacentral:rRNA from 1 species